UACGUAGGGUGCAAGCGUUGUCCGGAAUUAUUGGGCGUAAAGAGCUCGUAGGCGGUUUGUCGCGUCUGCUGUGAAAACUCGGGGCUCAACCCCGAGCUUGCAGUGGGUACGGGCAGACUAGAGUGCGGUAGGGGAGACUGGAAUUCCUGGUGUAGCGGUGGAAUGCGCAGAUAUCAGGAGGAACACCGGUGGCGAAGGCGGGUCUCUGGGCCGUAACUGACGCUGAGGAGCGAAAGCAUGGGGAGCGAACAGG
rnacentral:rRNA from 1 species